UCCGGUUGAUCCUGCCGGACCUGACUGCUAUCGGAUUGAUACUAAGCCAUGCGAGUCAUUGUAGCAAUACAAGGCAUACGGCUCAGUAACGCGUAGUCAACCUAACCUAUGGACGGGAAUAACCUCGGGAAACUGAGAAUAAUUCCCGAUAGAACAUUAUACCUGGAAUGGUUUAUGUUCCAAAUGAUUUAUCGCCAUAGGAUGGGACUGCGGCCUAUCAGUUUGUUGGUGAGGUAAUGGCCCACCAAGACUAUUACAGGUACGGGCUCUGAGAGGAGUAGCCCGGAGAUGGGUACUGAGACACGGACCCAGGCCCUAUGGGGCGCAGCAGGCGAGAAAACUUUGCAAUGUGCGAAAGCACGACAAGGUUAAUCCGAGUGAUUUCUGCUAAAGAGAUCUUUUGUUAGUCCUAGAAACACUAACGAAUAAGGGGUGGGCAAGUUCUGGUGUCAGCCGCCGCGGUAAAACCAGCACCUCAAGUGGUCAGGAUGAUUAUUGGGCCUAAAGCAUCCGUAGCCGGCUCUGUAAGUUUUCGGUUAAAUCUGUACGCUCAACGUACAGGCUGCCGGGAAUACUGCAGAACUAGGGAGUGGGAGAGGUAGACGGUACUCGGUAGGAAGUGGUAAAAUGCUUUGAUCUAUCGAUGACCACCUGUGGCGAAGGCGGUCUACCAGAACACGUCCGACGGUGAGGGAUGAAAGCUGGGGGAGCAAACCGGAUUAGAUACCCGGGUAGUCCCAGCUGUAAACUAUGCAAACUCAGUGAUGCAUUGGCUUGUGGCCAAUGCAGUGCUGCAGGGAAGCCGUUAAGUUUGCCGCCUGGGAAGUACGUACGCAAGUAUGAAACUUAAAGGAAUUGGCGGGGGAGCACCACAAGGGGUGAAGCCUGCGGUUCAAUUGGAUUCAACGCCGGA
rnacentral:rRNA from 1 species